AGUGAACGCUGGCGGUAGGCCUAACACAUGCAAGUCGAACGGCAGCACAGUAAGAGCUUGCUCUUACGGGUGGCGAGUGGCGGACGGGUGAGGAAUACAUCGGAAUCUACUUUUUCGUGGGGGAUAACGUAGGGAAACUUACGCUCAUACCGCAUACGACCUACGGGUGAAAGCAGUGGAUCUUCGGACCUUGCGCGAUUGAAUGAGCCGAUGUCGGAUUAGCUAGUUGGCGGGGUAAAGGCCCACCAAGGCGACGAUCCGUAGCCGGUCUGAGAGGCUGAUCGGCGGCACUAGAGCUUGAACACGGUCCAGACGCCUACGGGAGGGAGCAGUGGGGAAUAGGAGACAAUAGGGGGGAGCCUUAUCCAGCGAUACCGCGUGGGUGAAGGAGGCCUUCGGGUUGUAAAGCCCUUUUGUGGGGAAAGAAAAGCAGCAGGUUAAUACCCCGCGGUUCUGACGGUACCCAAAGAAUAAGCACCGGCUAACUACGUG
rnacentral:rRNA from 1 species